rnacentral:rRNA from 1 species
CGGACUGACUGCUAUCGGAUUGUACUAAGCCAUGCGAGUCGUGUAGCAAUACAAGGCGGACGGCUCAGUAACACGUAGUCAACUACCUAUGGACGUGGAUAACCUCGGGAAACUGAGAAUAAACCGCGAUAGAUCAUAAUGCCUGGAAUGGCUUAUGGUUCAAACAAUUUAUUGCCGUAGGAUGGGACUGCGGCCUAUCAGCUUGUUGGUGAGGUAAUGGCCCACCAAGGCUAUAACAGGUACGGGCUCUGAGAGGAGAAGCCCGGAGAUGGGUACUGAGACACGGACCCAGGCCCUGUGGGGCGCAGCAGGCGAGAAACCUUAGCAAUGUGCGAAAGCACGACUAGGUUAAUCCGAGUGGUUCCUGCUAAAGGAACCUUUUGUCAGUCGUAAAACCACAGACGAAUAAGGGGUGGGCAAGUCUGGUGUCAGCCGCCGCGGUAAUACCAGCACCUCGAGUGGUCAGGAGGUUUAUUGGGCCUAAAGCAUCCGUAGCCGGCUUUGCAAGUCUCCGGUUAAAUCCAGCUGCUCAACAGAUGGGCUGCCGGAGAUACUACAUAGCUAGGGAGCGGGAGAGGCAGACGGUAUUCGGUGGGUAGGGGUAAAAUCCACUGAUCCAUCGAGGACCACCAGUGGCGAAGGCGGUCUGCCAGAACGCGUUCGACGGUGAGGGAUGAAAGCUGGGGGAGCAAACCGGAUUAGAUACCCGGGUAGUCCCAGCUGUAAACGAUGCAAACUCGGUGAUGCAUUGGCUUAUGGCCAAUGCAGUGCCGCAGGGAAGCCGUUAAGUUUGCCGCCUGGGAAGUACGGACGCAAGUCUGAAACUUAAAGGAAUUGGCGGG